UGGGAUUUAGAUACCCCAGUAGUCCUAGCGGUAAACGAUGGAAACUAGGUGUGGCCUGUAUCGACCCGGGCCGUGCCGAAGCAUACGCGUUAAGUUUCCCGCCUGGGGAGUACGCACGCAAGUGUGAAACUCAAAGGAAUUGACGGGGGCCCGCACAAGCGGUGGAGUAUGUGGUUUAAUUCGAUGCAACGCGAAGAACCUUACCAGGACUUGACAUCUCUGGAAUCUCCUUGAAAGGGGAGAGUGCCGUAAGGAACCGGAAGACAGGUGCUGCAUGGCUGUCGUCAGCUCGUGUCGUGAGAUGUUGGGUUAAGUCCCGCAACGAGCGCAACCCUCGUCGUUAGUUGCCAUCAUUAAGUUGGGAACUCUAGCGAGACUGCCGGUGACAAACCGGAGGAAGGUGAGGAUGACGUCAAGUCAGCAUGGCCCUUACGUCCUGGGCGACACACGUACUACAAUGCGAGGGACACAGAGCAGCCAACCCGCGAGGGAGAGCGAAUCUCACAAACCCUGGCACAGUUCAGAUUGCAGGCUGCAACUCGCCUGCAUGAAGGAGGAAUCGCUAGUAAUCGCAGGUCAGCAUACUGCGGUGAAUCCGUUCCCGGGCCUUGUACACACCGCCCGUCACACCAUGGAAGUGAGCCACGCC
rnacentral:rRNA from 1 species